GACGAACGCUGGCGGCGUGCCUAAUACAUGCAAGUGGGACGCAAGGAAACACACUGUGCUUGCACACCGUGUUUUCUUGAGUCGCGAACGGGUGAGUAACGCGUAGGUAACCUGCCUAUUAGCGGGGGAUAACUAUUGGAAACGAUAGCUAAUACCGCAUAAUAUUAAUUAUUGCAAGAUAAUUGAUUGAAAGAUGCAAGCGCAUCACUAGUAGAUGGACCUGCGUUGUAUUAGCUAGUCGGUAAGGUAAGAGCUUACCAAGGCGACGAUACAUAGCCGACCUGAGAGGGUGAUCGGCCACACUGGGACUGAGACACGGCCCAGACUCCUACGGGAGGCAGCAGUAGGGAAUCUUCGGCAAUGGACGAAAGUCUGACCGAGCAACGCCGCGUGAGUGAAGAAGGUUUUCGGAUCGUAAAGCUCUGUUGUAAGUCAAGAACGUGUGUGAGAGUGGAAAGUUACACAGUGACGGUAGCUACCAAAAG
rnacentral:rRNA from 1 species